UACGAAGGGGGCUAGCGUUGUUCGGAAUUACUGGGCGUAAAGCGUAUGCAGGCGGAUCGUUAAGUCGGGGGUGAAAUCCCGAGGCUCAACCUCGGAACUGCCUUCGAUACUGGCAAUCUUGAGUCCGGGAGAGGUGAGUGGAACUCCGAGUGUAGAGGUGAAAUUCGUAGAUAUUCGGAAGAACACCAGUGGCGAAGGCGGCUCACUGGCCCGGUACUGACGCUGAGAUACGAAAGCGUGGGGAGCAAACAGG
rnacentral:rRNA from 1 species